rnacentral:rRNA from 1 species
GAUGAACGCUGGCGGCGUGCCUAAUACAUGCAAGUCGAGCGAACAGACGAGGAGCUUGCUCCUCUGACGUUAGCGGCGGACGGGUGAGUAACACGUGGAUAACCUACCUAUAAGACUGGGAUAACUUCGGGAAACCGGAGCUAAUACCGGAUAAUAUAUUGAACCGCAUGGUUCAAUAGUGAAAGACGGUUUUGCUGUCACUUAUAGAUGGAUCCGCGCCGCAUUAGCUAGUUGGUAAGGUAACGGCUUACCAAGGCGACGAUGCGUAGCCGACCUGAGAGGGUGAUCGGCCACACUGGAACUGAGACACGGUCCAGACUCCUACGGGAGGCAGCAGUAGGGAAUCUUCCGCAAUGGGCGAAAGCCUGACGGAGCAACGCCGCGUGAGUGAUGAAGGUCUUCGGAUCGUAAAACUCUGUUAUUAGGGAAGAACAAAUGUGUAAGUAACUAUGAACGUCUUGACGGUACCUAAUCAGAAAGCCACGGCUAACUACGUG